GAUUGAAGUAGGCGGGACUUUCAUAGGGUGUUAUGCCAGCUGGUGGAGGGUCAGUGAACUGAGCUGCUUAGCUAGAGAUAAUUGUUGGUUAAGAAUUAUAAGGAACAGACAAUUUCUCCUGUCUCCCAGUAACAUGGACGCCUAGUCAGUACUUCCCCAGCUUGGUGAGACUGGUGACCAUUUUGGCUCAUUAUUGUCUGAAGGAGGGCCAGCCCUGGCAGUCUGGAACUCGGGAACACACAGCGGUUUGAAGCCACCAGAGGACAAGUCAAAUUACAUGGUGGUGUUCCCACACCCACUAAGCAAAACUGGUGGCUUCUCUGGCUGACACCGAGUGCGAACAGGCCUCCUUUGAGUGUUUUUGUGUGUGUGUGUGUGUGUGUGUGUGUGUGUGUGUGUGUGUGUGUGUGUGUGUGAGUGAGUACAUUAUCAGGUGUGUGUUUUGAGUGUAAACUGUAUUUGUACAGAUACCCUCCACUGUGUUGUGGUGCUGUUGUUUUCAAAGUGUGUUUAGUGACCCUAAUCAUUUGUUUCAAGUGUGAAUGUCAUGAUAUACACUGUGUACUUAUGAUCAUGUACAGCAUGUGGAGGUGUGUUGUUGCCUUGAAUUCUGCAGAGCAUUGCGAUGGGAUGGUGGGUUUAUAAUGCUCCCUUCUGAUUCCAAAUACAACUAUUUCUACUAUUUCCAGCGUACCUAAUAUUGUUCAGACCCAAGCAGUGAAUCAGAAUGCUGUAUGUUAGGUAACCUUGAGAUUCCAGAAAGGCAUCUAAAAUGUAUUAUACUGUAACUAUAAUGUGGUAUAUUUACUUGACCUUGGUUGAUGUUAUCAAUGGUAUUUAAUGAAAGACCUCUGCACCUUGCAACAGUAUAAUAACUUGGCCCAAACUCUCCAUGCUUUCAGCUCUGUGGAACUGAAGGUCAUACGAUUGAGGCAGAAUUCUUGUCCUCUCAAAAUACAUAUUUUCCUCCA